CCUACGGGAGGCAGCAGUGAGGAAUAUUGGUCAAUGGGCGCGAGCCUGAACCAGCCAAGUCGCGUGAGGGAAGACGGCCCUAUGGAUUGUAAACCUCUUCUGUCGGGGAGCAAAAGACGCCACGCGUGGCGUUCCGAGAGUACCUGACGAAAAAGCAUCGGCAAACACGGUGCCAGCAGCGGCGGUACUAGGGGGGAUGCGAGCGUUAUCCGGAUUUAUUGGGGUUAAAGGGUGCGCAGGGGGAAGAUCAAGUCAGCGGGAAAAUUGAGGGGCUAAACCUGGUCGAGCAGUUGAAUCUGGUUAUCUUGAGUGAGUGAGAGGGAUGCGGAAUGCGUGGUGUAGCGGUGAAAUGCGUAGAUAUCACGCAGAACUCCGGUUGCGAAGGCAGCAUACCGGCGAUCAACUGACGCUCAGGCACGAAAGUGUGGGUAUCGAACAGGAUUAGAUACCCCGGUAGUC
rnacentral:rRNA from 1 species